CUACUUAUAUGGCUUAUUCACAUUGUUUGUUGGAUGAAUUCCUCCGAAUUAUCAAAGGAUAGUGUAGAUCUCACCAAAAAUUAAGGAUAAAUAUUUGUCCAAAAUCUUGAUCCAUUAGAGGGGGAAGUCGAGAUCGUAUUGAACUUCACAUCACCUAUCAUGUUCUAUUAGAGUGGAUAAGAGAGUUUUUGAGCUUAUGAAUCAUAGCUAUGCAAAUAAAUAUGUUUUUUUUUUCAACCAUACACUUGAACCUCGUCAAUGUGCUCAACGGGACACACUAACACUGCCUAACCAUCUUUGUGAUUAUGACUUUCGACUCAUCCACAUUGGAUCAAGUGCAACAAUACAAGUGGACAUUUCUAAUUCGUGGUUUAAUU
rnacentral:lncRNA from 1 species